GACGAACCGUGCGAACGUUGUUCGGAUUCACUGGGCUUAAAGGGCGCGUAGGCGAGUUUUCAAGUCUGGGGUGAAAUCCUCUCGCUCAACGAGAGAACUGCCCUGGAUACUGGAGACCUCGAGGGAGGUAGGGGCAUGUGGAACUUCCGGUGGAGCGGUGAAAUGCGUAGAUAUCGGAAGGAACGCCGGUGGCGAAAGCGACGUGCUGGGCCUCUUCUGACGCUGAGGCGCGAAAGCCAGGGGAGCAAACGGG
rnacentral:rRNA from 1 species